rnacentral:rRNA from 1 species
UACGUAGGGGGCAAGCGUUGUCCGGAACCAUUGGGCGUAAAGCGCGCGUAGGUGGCCCGGUAAGUCCGCUCUGAAAGUCAAAGGCUCAACCUUUGAAAGCGGGUGGAUACUGUCGGGCUAGAGUCCGGAAGAGGCGAGUGGAAUUCCUGGUGUAGCGGUGGAAUGCGCAGAUAUCAGGAGGAACACCAACGGCGAAGGCAGCUCGCUGGGACGGUACUGACACUAAGGCGCGAAAGCGUGGGGAGCGAACAGG